CUGACAACUUUGACAUCACAGCCACUCCCUGUCCACAGGUAACUUUCACUUUGUGAGCUCGUCGUGUCGCAGCUUCUUCUUCUGUCCAUGUGAAGCAGGUUGCUGUGUCUGUGUGAAGGUGUGGGCUCUGCUAUGGAUCAGUGUGAGGACAGAGAGGAGGGAGUCCCUCCCUCUAAAAGCACUCUGUGUGGGGAACAUGACACAAGGACCAAAGCUCAGAGGAUCCAUCAGAGACCAGACUGUCCUGAACCUGAACCCAGCUGUGUGUCCAUGAAGAGUGAUCGCUCUAUGGUUCUUCCUUUAAACUUCAAAGAAGACUCUGUUGAUCAAAGGAGGAAAAAACCUGAACCCAGCUGUGUGUCCAUGAAGAGUGAUCGCUCUAUGGGUCGUCUUAUAAACUUCAAAGAUGGCCGCCAUUCUGUUGAUCAAAGAGUGGACCAGGAGAGCUCAGAGGUUCCCAGUGGUCAGUCUGCCCAGCAGCAUCAAACACACCUGGACUCCAUAUUUAUGCUGCUGGAGGACAACAUUGUCACUUUUGUUAAGAACGAGCUGAAGAAGAUCCAGAAGGUUCUGAGUGCAGAUUACCCAGAAUGCUCAGAGAGUCAGAGGGAGGAUGAGGAGGUGUUGGAUGGUGAGGAUGAAGAGCAGAGGAGGAGAAGCAGAGAGGCAUUUCUAAAGAUCACAGUGCUCUUCCUGAGGAGAAUGAAGCAGGAGGAGCUGGCUGACCGUCUGCAGAGCAAAAAUUUUGAUGGAGUUUGUCAGCGUAAACUUAAAUACAAUCUGAAGAAGAAGUUCCAGUGUGUGUUUGAGGGGAUUGUUAAAGCAGGAAACCCAACCCUUCUGAACCAGAUCUACACAGAGCUCUACAUCACAGAGGGAGGGACUGCAGAGGUCAAUGAUGAACAUGAGGUCAGACAGAUCGAAACAGCAUCCAGGAAACCAGGCAGACCAGAAACAACAAUCAGACAAGAAGAUAUCUUUAAAGCCUCACCCGGAAGAGAUGAACCAAUCAGAACAGUGCUGACAAAGGGAGUAGCUGGCAUUGGGAAAACAGUCUUAACACAGAAGUUCACUCUGGACUGGGCUGAAGACAAAGCCAACCAGGACAUACAGUUCACAUUUCCAUUCACUUUCAGAGAGCUGAAUGUGCUGAAAAAGAAAAAGUACAGCUUGGUGGAACUUGUUCAUCACUUCUUUACUGAAACCAAAGAAGCAGGAAUCUGCAGGUUUGAAGAGUUCCAGGUUGUGUUCAUCUUUGACGGUCUGGAUGAGUGUCGACUUCCUCUGGACUUCCUCAACACUAAGAUCCUGACUGAUGUUACAGAGUCCACCUCAGUGGAUGUGCUGCUGACAAACCUCAUCAGGGGGAACCUGCUUCCCUCUGCUCGCCUCUGGAUAACUACACGACCUGCAGCAGCCAAUCAGAUCCCUCCUGAGUGUGUUGACAUGAUGACAGAGGUCAGAGGGUUCACUGACCCACAGAAGGAGGACUACUUCAAGAAGAGGUUCAGAGAUGAGGAGCAGGCCAGCAGAAUCAUCUCCCACAUAAAAACAUCACGAAGCGUCCACAUCAUGUGCCACAUCCCAGUCUUCUGCUGGAUCACUGCUACAGUUCUGGAGGAUGUGUUGAAGACCAGAGAGGGAGGAAAGCUGCCCAAGACCCUGACUGAGAUGUACAUCCACUUCCUGGUGGUUCAGUGCAAACUGAAGACCGUCAAGUAUGAUGGAGGAGCUGAGACAGAUCCACACUGGAGUCCAGGGAGCAGGAAGAUGAUUGAGUCUCUGGGAAAACUGGCCUUUGAGCAGCUGCAGAAAGGCAACCUGAUCUUCUAUGAAUCAGACCUGACAGAGUGUGGCAUCGAUAUCAGAGCAGCCUCAGUGUACUCAGGAGUGUUCACACAGAUCUUUAAAGAGGAGAGUGGAAUGUACCAGGACAAGGUCUUCUGCUUCGUCCAUCUGAGUGUUCAGGAGUUUCUGGCUGCUCUUCAUGUCCAUCUGACAUUCAUCAUCUCUGGAGUCAAUCUGCUGGCAGGAGAACAAACAACAUCCUGGUGGUCUAAAUUAAUGAAAGGGAAUCUAAAAUAUCUCCACCAGAGUGCUGUGGACAAGGCCUUACAGAGUCCAAAUGGACACCUGGACUUGUUCCUCCGCUUCCUCCUGGGUCUUUCACUGCAGACCAAUCAGAAUCUCCUACGAGGUCUGCUGACACAGACAGGAAGUAGCUCACAGACCAAUCAGCAAACAGUCCAGUACAUCAAGAAGAAGAUCAGUAAGAAUCUCUCUGCAGAGAGAAGCAUCAAUCUGUUCCACUGUCUGAAUGAACUGAAUGAUCGUUCUCUAGUGGAUCAGAUCCAACAGUCCCUGAGUUCAGGAAGUCGCUCCACAGAUAAACUGUCUCCUGCUCAGUGGUCAGCUCUGGUCUUCAUCUUACUGUCAUCAGAAAAAGAUCUGGACGUGUUUGACCUGAAGAAAUACUCUGCUUCAGAGGAGGCUCUUCUGAGGCUGCUGCCAGUGGUCAAAGCCUCCAACAAAGCUCUACUGAGUGACUGUAACCUCUCAGAGAGAAGCUGUGAAGCUCUGUCCGCAGUUCUCAGCUCCCAGUCCUCUAGUCUGAGAGAGCUGGACCUGAGUGACAACAACCUGCAGGAUUCAGGACUGAAGCUUCUUUCUGUUGGACUGAAGAGUCCACACUGUAAACUGGAAACUCUUAGGCUGUCAGGCUGUCUGAUCACAGAGGAAGGUUGUGCUUCUCUGGUCUCAGCUCUGAGCUCCAACCCCUCCCAUCUGAGAGAGCUGGACCUGAGCUACAAUCAUCCAGGAGACUCUGCAACAAAGCUGUCUGCUGGACUGGAGGAUCCACACUGGAGACUGGACACUCUCAGGGUGGAGCCUGCUGGAGUCCGAUGGUUGAGACCAGGUCUGAGGAAGUAUUCCUGUGAACUCACAGUCGACACAAACACAGUGAACAGAAAGAUCAAACUGUCUGACAACAACAGGAAGAUGACAUCAGUGAAGAAGGAUCAGCCAUAUCCUGAUCAUCCAGACAGAUUUGACUGCUGGUCUCAGCUGCUUUGUAGAAAUGGUCUGACUGGUCGCUGUUACUGGGAGGUCGAGUGGAGAGGAAGAGUUUAUAUAUCAGUGAGUUACAGAGGAAUCAGCAGGAGAGGAAACAGUAAAGACUGUGUGUUUGGAAGGACUGAUCAGUCCUGGAGACUGGAGUACUCUGAUGGUCGUUACUCUGUCCGUCACAACAACAUAAGAACACCCAUCUCCUCCUCCUCCUCCUCCUCCUCCUCCUCCUCCUCUGGUAGAGUAGCAGUGUAUGUGGACUGUCCUGCUGGCACUCUGUCCUUCUACACAGUCUCCUCUGACACACUGAUCCACCUCCACACCUUCAACACCACAUUCACUGAACCUCUUCAUCCUGGGUUUAGGUUCGGGUCUUACAGUUCCUCAGUGUCUCUGUGUCCUCUGUAGGAGGGAGAGAGAAACUUUCUCACUGCUGACCAGAUAGUUCAGUCUGUACAGGAUCACACACAGCUGAUGUUAGUUAGUACCAACCUGAUGUGUUUACUGUAAUAGAGGAGGAAGAGGAGGCUGAAGGAAGAGAAGAGCAAAGGAUGCUGGGAUGAAGGGAUCAUGUGUGAGGGUAAUGAGCAGCCUGCAGACGUAGAGAUGAAAGAAAUGAUAGAAAGAACUGAUCUUCUUCUAUAACUCUGAGAAAAAUGAACAUUUUUAGGAUCAAAUGUGGCUGCUUGUUUUUCAAAUCUUCUUCUUUUUGAAAGCACAGUUAGAGGGAAAGUGUUUUUAUGACUCAAAUAUUAAAGUGUGAACAAAUAUUCAACUUUGAGUCUAAAACUGAACUUUGUUGCCUUAAAACUUUUGUUUCUGUGAAGAAACAAUGUGUUCAAAUGUCAAACAAGAGUCUUUCAGGAUCAAAUUCAGCAUCUGUGUAAAAAUAGUUCCAAGGAGUAAAGAGUGGCUUUGAUUUGAACUAAAUUCAUCAUCUUUGGUCAUCGUGGAACAAAUGUACAAACUUUGAUAAGUCAGGUUGAAAUCAAAAGAAAUCAAAGUUUUGGGUUGAUUCCAGAUAAUAAAUGAUGCUGGAAACCACAUCUAAAUGAUGUCAAAGCAAAACUGUCCAAAUGGAUCCAACACUGUAUAAAAUGAAGGAUUAGUUAAAUCGUUUGGGGAAACUCAUAUAAAACAAACACUAAUCAGAUUUUUACAUUUGAACAGAGAGACAUAAGAAGUGUAAACCAAACUACUGAUCAAGAACCAACUCAGCUGUUUGUUCAAUGAACAGAACAGAUCAGGUAUAAAGUCAGAAACUAAUGACGAGCUGAAAGAGUCCAAAAGUUGUUUGAAAUGACAGAAAGUCCAAAUGAUUUGAGAGGAAUCUGCAGCUUUAAGGACUGAUGUCAGAAAUCCCUUGUGUUAAAGAGGUGAACUUGUGGAGCAGCUGUAGUGAGGAAAUCAAUCAUUCCAUAAAGAAUCAUUCAACAAAUAUAGAAGUGAUCAAACUGACAUGUUGGCAUUAAUUCAAUUCAACUCUAUUCUAUUCUAUUUGUAUAGGGCCAAUUCAUUAUGACAACUCCCUCAUUUCAUUUUUUGUACGUCUGGAUAAGAUCUACGCAUGUGCCGAUUUCUAUGCAUAUCAGUGAAAGGGGACCUGGGUGGCACAGUUUAUGGGCCCCUGAGAGGGGCCAAUUUGUCAUGCUCAUGUGCAUUUCAUGAGUUUUCGAGCACGGGAAAGCCUCCAAAAAUGCGUUUGUUUGACAAAAAUUAUUUUUCCUGCCAAUUACAAUAGUGCCAUCGCACGGUCAGUGCUCGGGCCCUAACUACUAAAGGUUUGUUUCACCAACUUCCGGCCCUCGCUAUGAUUGACAGGAGGUUUUGGGGUGCUUUUGGCGAGCAGGGAGAGGUGUACGUGACACAGAGAGAGAGAGAGACGACCUCUGAGCCUCAAUGUGGAACUUGAAGUAGACGCUCCGUGUAAUAACUUUGAGCUUCAUAAGAGUUGAGAAGCAGUAAGAAGUGAUAACGAUUACUGAGGAUGAGCAGUUGCCAGCUGAAAGUGAAACGGGUUUCCUUCUCAGCUUCUCACUUUGUUUGCUGCUCGUGUGUUAGCUACUAAGUUAAUUCCAUUUUGUACAGACAAUUCUAGUAUUUUCUGUGGUUCAUGUUAAAUGCGUAAAGGGAAACAUUUUGAUGGUUAAAGUGUAAAUUUCAUAGUAAUAUUCACCAUGUUAAAAUAAAAGAACCAUGAAUUUC